rnacentral:rRNA from 1 species
CAGCCGCCGCGGUAUACGGAGGGGGCUAGCGUUGUUCGGAAUUACUGGGCGUAAAGCGCACGUAGGCGGCUUGGUAAGUUAGAAGUGAAAGCCUGGAGCUCAACUCCAGAAUUGCCUUUAAGACUGCCGAGCUAGCAGGUGAGAGAGGUAAGUGGAAUUCCGAGUGUAGAGGUGAAAUUCGUAGAUAUUCGGAAGAACACCAGUGGCGAAGGCGGCUUACUGGCUCAUACUGGACGCUGAGGUGCGAAAGCGUGGGGAGCAAACAGGAUUAGAUACCCCCGUAGUCCCUGUCUCUUAUACA